GCCGGGAUGGUCUAAUCGGUUAAGGCGUCACCCCGGACAGGCGAAGAUUGCGGGUGCAAUCCCCGCUCCUGGCC
rfam:Ixodes scapularis strain Wikel colony gcontig_1108379126320, whole genome shotgun sequence.